AUGUACAUUCCUAUAACAUAGCAUUAAUGCACCAGAUCCCAUUAUAAAUCUGCAGUUAAGUGUGCUCGGGCUAGACUAGUAUUGGGAUGGAUGACCACCCAUGAAUUCCUAGUGUUUUACAUG
rfam:Picea glauca, whole genome shotgun sequence.